UGCAGCACCCACCCGUACCCGGGUGGUUCCGUAAGGGGGGAUCGAUUUUAUGGACAAAACCACGCCGUUCCAAGCCACCUGGUCCUGGAAGCCCUUCAUCGCCUGC
rnacentral:sRNA from 1 species